rnacentral:rRNA from 1 species
AAAGGAAUUGACGGGGACCCGCACAAGCAGCGGAGCAUGUGGUUUAAUUCGAAGCAACGCGAAGAACCUUACCAGGGCUUGACAUCCCUCUGACAGUCCCUUAACCGGGACCUUCUUCGGACAGAGGAGACAGGUGGUGCAUGGUUGUCGUCAGCUCGUGUCGUGAGAUGUUGGGUUAAGUCCCGCAACGAGCGCAACCCUUGUCUUUAGUUGCCAUCAUUCAGUUGGGCACUCUAGAGAGACUGCCGAGGAUAACUCGGAGGAAGGUGGGGAUGACGUCAAAUCAUCAUGCCCCUUAUGCCCUGGGCUACACACGUGCUACAAUGGCUGGUACAAAGAGACGCAAGACCGCGAGGUGGAGCAAAUCUCAAAAACCAGUCCCAGUUCGGAUUGCAGGCUGCAACUCGCCUGCAUGAAGUUGGAGUUGCUAGUAAUCGCAGAUCAGAAUGCUGCGGUGAAUGCGUUCCCGGGUCUUGUACACACCGCCCGU